AAAAGCAUAGCUGCAAAUUUGGUCAUAUUCAAAUGACAAAAUAUAUAUAGAUAAUUGGUAAUUGGCCUCAUCCCACAACUGACGACGAAAAAUUCAUGGAAAUGUUGACGCAUGCAUGAUUUGAUUUGAAUUCGGAACUAACGCGGUCACGAAAUUGUGAUAAAUAACGGGAACUCAACGGAAAAUUAGGAAAGAAAAUCUUACUUAUUUUUUUUUCAAUGAGAAGUUCAAAGAGUGGGGAAAGGAUGAACAGAAUCUGAAGAUUGGCCUGCCUAACCGACAUCCUGGAUCGAUUACACUGCUCUUUUAUGUGAUACAACGUAUUCUCUUGAUUUCCAUUAUUGCACUGGUCGUAGAAUCAUGCCGCAAUUGCCAAUACAAAGGAAACGACUACGACUUUUUGUCUAGUUUUGUGACCUCCGUUAAUGCGUGCACCAUGAGGAAGUGUUACUGUCGAUGCAGUGGAACGGUGUACUGCCCAACCUCCGAACAGUAUGACGUGUGUACACAGCACUGUGCUAAAUGUACCAACCGUGACACGGGCGCUUUGAUUGAUGCUUACAACACAUUUACAACUACGAGUAAAUAUUGUUUCAAGUUUACUUGGUACUGUAACUGCGACGGAACCUACUCUUAUCAAAGCCACGAGGAAAUUCCAAACUGCCGAAGGACGUCGAAAAGAUUUUCUUUAUUGCCAAAUUACACUCAUGAAUAGUAAUUUAUUUAUUGGAUCUAUUACGGUUUUUUGUUUGUUUUGGCUUUCCUCCCACAAUGAGUUGAUUACAUUGCAUUCCAAUAUUAUAUAUAUAAAUAU